rnacentral:rRNA from 1 species
GUAGUCAUAUGCUUGUCUCAAAGAUUAAGCCAUGCAUGUCUAAGUAUAAGCGCUCUUAUACCGUGAAACUGCGAAUGGCUCAUUAAAUCAGUUAUAGUUUAUUUGAUGUUGACUUACUACUUGGAUAACCGUGGUAAUUCUAGAGCUAAUACAUGCGUCAAAGUCCUGACCUCUCGGGGAAGGGAUGUAUUUAUUAGAUCCAAAACCGAUGCAGUCGAAAGGCUGGUUGUUGGUGAUUCAUGAUAACUGAACGGAUCGCAUGGUCUUGCGCCGGCGAUGACUCAUUCAAAUUUCUGCCCUAUCAACUUUCGAUGGUAAGGUAGUGGCUUACCAUGGUUGCAACGGGUAACGGGGAAUG